AGUGAACGCUGGCGGCGUGCUUAACCCAUGCAAGUCGAACGAGAACGGAAUAUAGCUUGCUAUAUUUGUCAGCUAAGUGGCGCACGGGUGAGUAAUGUAUAGAUAACCUGCCCUUAAGAAAGGAAUAACAGUUGGAAACGACUGCUAAUGCCCUAUAUGCCUUUAAUACAUAAGUAUGCAAGGGAAACGCUUUAGUGCUUAAGGAUGGGUCUGUAUGGUAUCAGCUUGUUGGUGAGGUAAUGGCUCACCAAGGCUAUGACGCCUAACUGGUUUGAGAGGAUGAUCAGUCACACUGGAACUGAGACACGGUCCAGACUCCUACGGGAGGCAGCAGUGGGGAAUAUUGCACAAUGGACGAAAGUCUGAUGCAGCAACGCCGCGUGGAGGAUGACACAUUUCGGUGCGUAAACUCCUUUUGUAUAGGAAGAUAAUGACGGUACUAUAUGAAUAAGCACCGGCUAACUCCGUGCCAGCAGCCGCAGUAA
rnacentral:rRNA from 1 species